AUUGAACGCUGGCGGAAUGCUUUACACAUGCAAGUCGAACGGCAGCACGGGGGCAACCCUGGUGGCGAGUGGCGAACGGGUGAGUAAUACAUCGGAACGUGCCCAGCCGUGGGGGAUAACGUAGCGAAAGUUACGCUGAUACCGCAUACGAUCUACGGAUGAAAGCGGGGGACCGUAAGGCCUCGCGCGAUUGGAGCGGCCGAUGUCAGAUUAGGUAGUUGGUGAGGUAAAGGCUCACCAAGCCGACGAUCUGUAGCUGGUCUGAGAGGACGACCAGCCACACAGGGACUGAGACACGGCCCAGACUCCUACGGGAGGCAGCAGUGGGGAAUUUUGGACAAUGGGCGCAAGCCUGAUCCAGCCAUUCCGCGUGCAGGACGAAGGCCUUCGGGUUGUAAACUGCUUUUGUACGGAACGAAAAGGCUCUGGUUAAUACCUGGGGCUCAUGACGGUACCGUAAGAAUAAGCACCGGCUAACUACGUGCCAGCAGCCGCGGUAA
rnacentral:rRNA from 1 species